GUCUCCAACAUUGCUUCUUCAUGUCACCUUACUGAGCCUAAAGCUGAGUCCAGGGUGACACAGACACAUCUUCCCCAGGCAACAGUCCUAGGAAAUGCCAACAGAAAUUUUAAAGCAAAACUUGAGAGUCACCUGGGCAAUUGAGCAAGACUCCACAUUAUGCAACUUCUAUGGUCAUAAUCAUGCACUGAAGAAAUAACUAUCACUGCCAGCAGUGACUGGGGACUCUGUGCUAAGCACUUCAGAUGUAUUAUGCUGCAUUUAAUAUUCAUCAUGAUCCUGACAUUCCAACACUUUUCCCUUCUUUACCAAUGAGGAAACUGAAGUUGAGAAAAGUUGUGUCACCUGAAGCUGCAUGUACAUGGCACCUUCCAGCACCAUAAAAGUUAGCCAAUAGUGAUGAGACUUCCAGAAGUUGGAACACAAGAACUCUUAGUGCUACAUCUUUCCACUUAGGAUAUACAAAGAAGGAAAAGGAAUUAAACAGGAAAAGCAGGGAAAUACACACUCCACAUUUUCUAACAAGAUAUACCAUUCCAAGGAAAAUUAGGCAAAUAUGUAUGUAGCAAUUAAAGAUGCACCAGAAAACUCAGUGGAUGUGACCAGCUGUUUGAAGUAUCUACUGUCUUCCCUGCCAUGAUGGACUGUAACAUGGAACUGUGAACGAAAAAUAAACCUGUUCUCCCUUAAGCUGCUGUUCAUGGCAGUACUUUAUCACAGCAACAGGAAAUGAAGCAAGGACAGUAUAGCAUACAUGCUCCCAGAGACAUCAUUUAGUGGAUGACUGGUGCUCCACCUUCACAGGCCCAGGUCCCAUGUCUGCCGCCUCCUGAGUUAUCAGCCCACAUUGGGCAGCAUCCACUCCCCCCAGCUGAGAUCUGCUUUGUCAAGACUCUCUGAGCUCCGCAGGAUGCAGUGCAGCCUAGAAGGGGCCCCUCCCCAACUGUCUGCACCCCAGUUGCUGGAGCUCUUGCUCCUGGCUUCCAUACUGAAGAACUUUCUCUGCUCCCUUGCCCUUGAACUCUUGGGA